rnacentral:rRNA from 1 species
AUGGCCGUGUCCGAGCUCGAGGUCGACGGCGUCGUCUUCCCGCCGCUCGCCCGCCCGCCGGGCUCCGAGCACGCCCACUUCCUCGCCGGCGCAGGCGUGCGCGGCAUGGAGAUCGGCGGCAACUUCAUCAAGUUCACGGCCAUCGGCGUCUACCUGCAGGCCGACGCCGCCGUCCCCGCGCUCGCCGCCAAGUGGGCCGGCAAGCCCGCCGCCGACCUCGCCUCCGACGCCGCCUUCUUCCGCGACGUCGUCACCGGCGAGUUCGAGAAGUUCACCAGGGUGACCAUGAUCCUGCCGCUGACGGGCGCGCAGUACUCGGACAAGGUGACCGAGAACUGCGUCGCCUACUGGAAGGCCAACGGCGUGUACACGGACGCCGAGGCCGCCGCCGUCGACAAGUUCAAGGAGGCCUUCGGGCCCCACAGCUUCGCCCCCGGCGCCUCCAUACUCUUCACCCACUCACCCGCCGGCGUCCUCACCGUGGCCUUCUCCAAGGACUCGUCCGUGCCGGAGUCCGGCGGCGUGGCCAUCGAGAACGCCCGGCUCUGCGAGGCCGUGCUGGAGUCCAUCAUCGGCGAGCACGGGGUGUCGCCUGCGGCCAAGCUCAGCCUGGCCACCAGGGUCGCCGAGCUGCUCAAGGGGGCCGCCGGCGGCGAGCCGGCCGUGGAGCCCGUGUCGGUUUCGGUGUGA